rnacentral:rRNA from 1 species
UACGGAGGGGGCUAGCGUUGUCCGAAGUUACUGGGCGUAAAGCGCGCGUAGGCGGGUUGGUAAGUCCGCUGUGAAAGCCCGGAGCUUAACUCCGGAGGGUCGGUGGAUACUGCCAGUCUUGAAGGUGCUAGGGGGAGAUGGAAUUACCGGUGUAGCGGUGAAAUGCGUAGAUAUCUGGAGGAACACCGGUGGCGAAGGCGGCAUCCUGGACCAACACUGACACUGAGGAGCGAAAGCCAGGGGAGCAAACGGG